rnacentral:rRNA from 1 species
AUUGAACGCUGGCGGCAGGCUUAACACAUGCAAGUCGAGCGGGGGAAGGUAGCUUGCUACUGGACCUAGCGGCGGACGGGUGAGUAAUGCUUAGGAAUCUGCCUAUUAGUGGGGGACAACAUCUCGAAAGGGAUGCUAAUACCGCAUACGUCCUACGGGAGAAAGCAGGGGAGCUUCGGACCUUGCGCUAAUAGAUGAGCCUAAGUCGGAUUAGAUAGUGGGUGGGGUAAAGGCAUACCAAGGCGACGAUCUGUAGCGGGUCUGAGAGGAUGAUCCGCCACACUGGGACUGAGACACGGCCCAGACUCCUACGGGAGGCAGCAGUGGGGAAUAUUGGACAAUGGGGGGAACCCUGAUCCAGCCAUGCCGCGUGUGUGAAGAAGGCCUUAUGGUUAUAAAGCACUUUAAGCGAGGAGGAGGCUACUUUAGUUAAUACCUAGAGAUAGUGGACGUUACUCGCAGAAUAAGCACCGGCUAACUCUGUGCCAGCAGCCGCCGUAA